AUCCAGCUGACGAGUCCGAAAUAGGUCGAAACGCACGUCCUGGAU
rfam:Schistosoma mansoni strain Puerto Rico chromosome 1, complete genome